rnacentral:lncRNA from 1 species
AAUACAUCUUACAUUCAUUGGAUAAACUCUAUAAUUUAAAUUGUCUGAAGGAAUUAGAUGAUGGCUGCUUAAAGUAUAACAUCUUGCACAAGGAAGUAUUGCUUAAAAUUUCCUUGAAAUAAAUUGAACAUCUAAAGGUAUGUUUAAUAUUUUAAGAUUGAUUAUUUAUAGCUUUAAAAUUUUUAUAUCC